GAUGAACGCUAGCGGCAGGCCUAACACAUGCAAGUCGAGGGGCAGCACAGAAACAGCAAUGUUUUGGUGGCGACCGGCGGACGGGUGCGUAACGCGUGUGCAACCUACCUUUAACAGGGGGAUAACGGAGAGAAAUUUCCACUAAUACCCCAUAACAUCGAUCAAGGCAUCUUGAUUGGUUGAAAACUCCGGUGGUUAAAGAUGGGCAUGCGUUGUAUUAGGUAGUUGGUGAGGUAAUGGCUCACCAAGCCUACGAUACAUAGGGGGACUGAGAGGUUAGCCCCCCACACUGGUACUGGGACACGGACCAGACUCCUACGGGAGGCAGCAGUGAGGAAUAUUGGUCAAUGGGGGCAACCCUGAACCAGCCAUGCCGCGUGCAGGAAGACGGCUCUAUGAGUUGUAAACUGCUUUUAAACAGGGAUAAAGCACAGUAUGUAUACUGUGUUGAAGGUACUGUAAGAAUAAGGAUCGGCUAACUCCGUGCCAGCCGCCGCAGUAA
rnacentral:rRNA from 1 species